AGUUCCUGGCAGGCACUAGUGGGAGGGGGAGGAUGGGACACAGGUGAGAAAGAUCCUUCUGUGCUGCAGGUGUCUCCAGCCUCAUGAGCCCAUGGGCAAGUUGACAGGAAUGCCACAGUGGGGGAGAGGUCAUCAGAGCUGACUCAUGAGAGCUUCCUACGUGCUGGUGGUGUCACUGCUAGCUUUGCCUCAAAACACUUUUAGCUAGAGUUAAAUAUGGUGCCAGUUUAUGGCAGAGAAGCCUGAGUAGGAUAAGUCGCUUGGUCACAGAUACAAAACUGGAUAGUGCCCAGACCAGCCUGGAACUCCUGGUCUUCAGGAGAACACCAUGGACUAGCUGUGGGUGCCAGGCCAGCUUGUAGCAACACCAAGGCCUGAGUGACAGGCCAACUCCUGAAGUCAGGGGCAACAUCUCUUUCUGAAGACGUGGCUGACCCCUGGAUCCAGAAGGCCUGCGCAUUCUACAUGCACCUCUUCCACCCCCUCUAACUCACUGGCAUUGAGCACUUGCUGUGUACUGGGCAUUGGGGUGGGGGAGUCAGGUCCCAGAUACCCUGUGAUGUGGCUCCAGCCCUCAGACGUCAUUGGUGCCAUGGCAACCAUUCCUUGUGACUUUCUUCUCAAAUGCCUGCCUAUGCUCACUUCCUGUCAUACCUAGCAGCUGUCACAGCCAGAUUUAGGAUUGCAUCAGCCUUCGCUCCACUAACCCAGUAAUCAGAUGAGGUUUUUUAAAACAUGGGUUUAGUGCCUUUGCUUUUUUAGUAACUGAGUUGUAUUGCAGGGCAGCACAACACUCCAGUACAGCCUAGCAUUCAAAUGUACCCAAGCUGGCCUCAGCAAAUAAACAUCUGUAAUGGUGCUUUGAGAGAGAUGGGGUGUGAUGGUUAAUGUGGGCAGUGGAGUACAGGACGAUUCCAGAGAGAGAAGGAAACAUCUUCUCUGGAAAGGCAGCCCCAGUGUCUGGACAGUGCAUUAUCCAGGCUGAUGAAUAAAAUAAAUUAAAUUCA